AACGCACUGGUCUCUCUCUCUCUCUCUCCCCUUUUUCUGCAACCAUCACUUCAAGGCCACCCCAACCAUUCCAACCACAAAGCAAGCAUUAGUCUCCUCUUUCUGCAACCAUCUCUAUCUCUCUCUGUCUCUGCGUCUCUCCCCUUUCCCUUUUUCUGCAACCAUCACUUUUAAGGGUGCCCCAACCAUUCCACCCAAAAAAAAAAAAGAAGCAUCAGUCUCUUCUUUUGCAACCCCCUUCCUUCUCCCUCCCCAAUCUCUACUUCUUUUUUAGUUCCAUGAACGGAAAUUAAGUUUGAAAGAAAGAAUCUUCAUGUGACAUUUUCGGGUAGAGAAAGAAAAUGUGUGUGUGUGUGUGAGAGAGAGAGAGAGAGAGAGAGAGAGAGAGAGACGUGUGGGUUGUCUGGAAGGGAUUUUUAAAAGAAAAUGAGACGAAGAAACAGGAGACAAAUGAGGAACAAAACUUUGCUGUGGGACCCAGAGAUAGAUAUUUGGAGAGAGGCAAUUAAAGUGUUCAUAUUCGAAGAGUAAGCACACCAAUUACCACAAAACUGCUUUUGUCAUCAAAAGAGUUGCUUUGCAAUUUUCUCCAAGGAAAAACAGAGGGAGUGAGAAUUUAAAAUUACUACUAACUUUUGAGGAUCAAGCGUUGCUUUAGCACUUCAGAACAUUCUACCCGACAUGAAUAUGAAAAACCAAAUAAUUUGCUUAGCAUUGUUCAUCAAACAGUAAUGAAUGCUUUUCCUUACAGUAGGAUUUCAAAAUUGUUACUAGUGCACCAAAGGCUUAAAUGUACCUAAACAGGAAGCUUUUAGUUGCAUUAAGUUUGCUUAUACAAGAAACAAUGUAAUGCAAUAUUUCUAUCGUAGCUCGUAGCACCAUCUUUAUUUCUGAUGUGUAAAAGAAUUUCUGCAACAUUAUACAAGAGGCAUGGGCGCAGAAAAAUGUACAAAAAAUGCCAGUAAAUUCAUAGAUAGGUGGUCACAACGACAAAGUAUGCUAACAUUUGUAAAACAACUUCAAUAAGCUAAAAACCAAUUAGCAAUUAGCAAUUGGAUUAGCAAUUGGCAAAAUGGCUCAAGAUUGCACUAAUUUAUUUUCAGAUCCCUCUAAUUUGAUUAAACACUCUCCCUUAACACCUGUGUCACACACGACUCAUGAUUAACAAGAGCCCAUAAAAACUUAGAUUGACUAGGAAUGAACUCAGUCUCAUUUGAAACUGUGAACUGGCUCGAAUGGAAUAAAAACACUGAACCCAACUCCAUUACCACGUUAAGAUGCCUACGUGUCAACCUGAAAACCAACUCCCAAUUAGACUACGGAUAUGUGAUAGGCGCAGAUACAUGCUCAAUUAGGUAAUCUAUAAUGCAAGCCCUAUAUAUGCUACAAAAACCCAACCCAGACCUUUACAAGAUUUGGUUUACCAGACUCCCUCCCACUUAAUACUCCGAGUUCUUUAUUAGUAGGGUAACCUACUAAUAAAAAGGGGCCAAAAAAAAACCCCUGCAGUGAACUUGAUAAUUUAAUACACAAAGUGGUCACCUAAACAAUCGACUCAAAAGAUCUAAUCA
rnacentral:lncRNA from 1 species